rnacentral:rRNA from 1 species
AUUGAACGCUGGCGGCAUGCCUUACACAUGCAAGUCGAACGGCAGCACGGGAGCAAUCCUGGUGGCGAGUGGCGAACGGGUGAGUAAUAUAUCGGAACGUGCCCAGUCGUGGGGGAUAACGUAGCGAAAGCUACGCUAAUACCGCAUACGAUCUAUGGAUGAAAGCGGGGGAUCGCAAGACCUCGCGCGGUUGGAGCGGCCGAUAUCAGGUUAGGUAGUUGGUGAGGUAAAGGCUCACCAAGCCGACGAUCUGUAGCUGGUCUGAGAGGACGACCAGCCACACUGGGACUGAGACACGGCCCAGACUCCUACGGGAGGCAGCAGUGGGGAAUUUUGGACAAUGGGCGCAAGCCUGAUCCAGCAAUGCCGCGUGCAGGAUGAAGGCCUUCGGGUUGUAAACUGCUUUUGUACGGAACGAAACGGCGAGCUCUAAUACAGUUUGCUAAUGACGGUACCGUAAGAAUAAGCACCGGCUAACUACGUGCCAGCCGCCGCAGUAA